ACGUGUAAUAGGUAAUUUCAUUCCUGGUCCCCAACACUCUUCAGAUUCAACCAACACUCAGAACAUCUGAAGAGUCCAAGUUGCUGCUGAGUGCUUCCAUAUGUCAGUUUCAUCCGUACAAGUUUCCUGUGAUGCUGGGAGCUAACCCACCGCGUCUAUCAAGUAUCACUGCAAUGGCACUCGCAUUUAUUGAGUGCUUUCUGAGAUGAAACACCAUGUAAAGUUCUUUAGCUGGAUGCUUUGAGCAAUUCCCACAACGCACCUUGGAUGACAGGUAUUAACAUUAGCAUCUCCAUUUUAUAGGUGAAUGAACUGAGAACCAGAGAGAAUGAGAAAUGGCAGAGAGAUAGGAUUUGAAUCUAGACAGUCCUACUCUCCUACUAUGCCCUUGUCUUUUAACCCCCAUACCUAGAGAAACCAAGAGAAAGAAGAUUCACCAUAUCAGAGUCACUCCAUCUAGCACUUACCUAGACUAGACUGUAAGCUCCCAGAGGCAGGAAUUAUGUCUUAUGGUUUUCCUGUACCUAGCCCAGUACAUGACACAGAAACCUCUGCAUGAUAAUUAUUGACGGAUGGAUUAUCCCUGUUCAAGUAGAGGAAAGCUCAUCAGAUUGACCUGAAAGUAUUAGCUCACCUGCAACAAAGCAGU
rnacentral:lncRNA from 1 species